rnacentral:rRNA from 1 species
GACGAACGCUGGCGGCGUGCCUAAUACAUGCAAGUCGAGCGGACUUUCCGGAGUGCUUGCACUCCGGAAGGUUAGCGGCGGACGGGUGAGUAACACGUAGGCAACCUGCCCAUAAGACCGGGAUAACAUUCGGAAACGAAUGCUAAUACCGGAUAGACGGACCUCUCGCAUGAGGGGAUCGUGAAAGGCGGAGCAAUCUGCGGCUUAUGGAUGGGCCUGCGGGGCAUUAGCUGGUUGGGGGGGUAAUGGCCUACCAAGGCUGCGGUGCGUAGGCGGCCUGGGAGGGUGGACAGCCACAAUGGGACUGAGAGACGGCCCAGACGCGUACGUGCGGCAAUAGUGGGGAAUAUUGCAGAAUGAGCGGAAGCGUGAUGAGGCAGCGCCGCGUGCGGGAAGACGGCCUUCCGGUGGAAAACCGGUUGCGGCUGUGACGAAGCGUGCGUGACGGUAACGGGUAAAGAAGCACCGGCUAACUACGUG